CAAAUGAGGUGCGCGUGGGGGGGGAUGCAUUGGAGAACCGGGUCUUGGCCUCGAGAAGAUUCUUAGAAGCACUCCACACCGAGAGAAUUCACAAGAAGGAUUUCCCAACUCCAAAAUCAUCUUACUGUUCACUGGUAGAAGUGGAAUUUGCAAAACAUAUUCCUGCUCAGCAACCAACUGUACAACCACGCUGCUCUGGAGUCUCCAUUCCUUUGUAUCUAAACCCACUGGGAAUCGUUUGUUAACAUGAGAGAAAAUCUAUGUACUAGUCAGUCCUGGAGGGUUGACUACAAACAGCAUUCAUGAUGGAUAGUCAUUGAUGGAGGCAAAUUGGAUCCUUAUCCCCAAGAGAAGGGCCUCACCUCUUCCCUAGUUCCCAACUUUCCUAAGAAUGAUUUCUGUGUGGUAAGAGUUAACUCUUGUGAGACCAGUGCAGGCACCAACACUCUUAACAGUCACAGGUCAUAAAUGCAAAGAUUUUUUAGUUCAGAAACUGUUGGGAGCCAAAUCUCAGGGCUUGGCAUGAGAUCCUAGGCCAUGCUUGUCAGGCCGCAUAGUUAAACUUUACAUAGCAGCUCCUUAGAACCUCAGCUCAAGAAAAGAAACAAAUUGACCCAGUCCUCCACCCACAGGCUCAGUCACCUAGGCAAC
rnacentral:lncRNA from 1 species